ensembl:lncRNA
GACAUGGCCAGAGACAGAGCAAGAGUGAGAAGAGGAGGUGUUGCUCUUUUUAAACAUCAGUGUUCAUGUGAACUAAUAGGGCGAGAACUCACUCAUUACAGCAAGAAAGGCACCAAGCCAUUCAUGAGGGAUCCACCCCCAUGAUCCAGACACCUCUCACCAGGCCCCACCUCCAAUGCUGGGGAUGAAAUUUCAACAUGAGGUUUGGAGGACACAAAUAUCCAAGCUAUAUGAGAUGAGCAGAGAAAGGACCCCUGGAAAAAAGAGUGAGAAGGUAUAGCCAGAGAGGUAGGGGAAAAAGAAUUAUGAGGUAUCCAGAGAACAAAGGAAAAGCAUGUUUCAAGGAGUAGGCUGUGGUCCACAAAGGCAAAUGCUAUCAAGAGAUCAAGCAAGAAAAAGACUAAGAAGCACCCAUGGGUGAGAACCAUGGAGAUAUCUGACCAGUUUGGCAGGGAGCAGGGUCCAGGGAGGCAGCAGUCAGGUCAUAGUGAGUUGAGGAGUAAAUGGAACCAAUGGACACAGACACCUGUUUCAAAAAAUUUGCCUUGAAAGUGGAAGACAUAAUCCCUAAACUUUCUUUCCAAGGUUAAGGAAGGUGGGCCGCCAUUAGGCCCUUACCACCUGUGUGUCAGCUCAGCUGACCUCAUGCCAAUGCUCUUGAAGGACAUGGCCUGUGUGUUGAACGGCAGCCCAAACACCAGUACUGGUCUUGGCCAAAACUGCAGAACAAACCAAAUCAGCCUUUUGUGUCCUCCUCCUAACUCUUCUUCUGCACCUGCCCCUGUCCCUAGGCCUCUGAGGUCCACACAGACUUCCUGGUCCAUGGCCCACUGUGAGGCGUGAAUGUGCACCUGAACUCUGAGCAGUCCACUGGUGAGAUGACCUACAGAGGAAUGAAUCUGUUCUGACACAUUUGUCACACCGUCACUAUCUCUCACUUCUUGUCAUGGCCUAUGUAUCGGGACCAGUCAGAGGGAGAGGAGAGGAGUGUAGUCACCUUGGAGUCUGGAACAAACAGCUGGCUCUGCAGCUGGCCAGGCAGCUAUCCAAGCAGGGGGCCUCCCUAGGAGCAAAAUCCAGAAGCCAAAAUAAAUGGGUCAGGUGGAAAGCGGAUGACUAUAACUGCAAGCAAUGCUGAAGGUUGGCCCUGGGAACUGAAGGUGAGUCAAGGCCUAAUGGACGGACACCUGAAGGGGUUUGAAUGAGAGGGGAGGGACGGGCGGAAUCCAAGAGCAGGGGCCAGAAAUGGGUUAGAGUCAAUAGACCACACAGAGGCCACAAACAAUGAUGCUGUACAGAUGGGUCCAUCACCACCAGCUCUCUGUUACCCUGAAUCCCAGGGUACUGUUUCAGAUCUCAGACCUUCACAUGAAAUUUCUGAUAUCGACAAUUCUUCAAAUCUUAUUUCCACAACACUCCUUCUCCUGCCAUCCUAUCCCUGUAUUCCAAGAAGAAGAUAGGAAAGCCCUGGGCCUGGUUGGGGUGCUAAUGAGGUGCUCAUAGGCCUUAGUGGUAACUAACCUGAAAUAGGUCCCCCAUCCUAAGAACCAGGAGUGGAAGUGAAGGCCUGGCACAGUUAAUUUAGGCCCUAAAUCAGUAAGAAAGCUAGCAGCAUGACUUGAUUCGUGGAAACAUUAUUUCUAAGUUGUAAUCAUUCCAGAUUACUUAGGUUUUCCAAAACGCAUACAGCGACUGAACUGAAAGGCUUAACUGUCUUCAGUUUGUGAUUAGAGCACAGAGAGGAGA